rnacentral:rRNA from 1 species
CGGCCUACGGGGGGCAGCAGUCGGGAAUAUUGCACAAUGGAGGAAACUCUGAUGCAGUGACACCGCGUAUAGGAAGAAGGUUUUCGGAUUGUAAACUAUUUUAGACAGGGAAGAAAAAAGACAGUACCUGUAGAAUAAGCUCCGGCUAACUACGUGCCAGCAGCCGCGGUAAUACGUAGGGGGCAAGCGUUAUCCGGAUUUACUGGGUGUAAAGGGGGCGCAGACGGCAGCGCAAGCCAGGAGUGAAAGCCCGGGGCCCAACCCCGGGACUGCUCUUGGAACUGCGCGGCUGGAGUGCAGGAGGG